AGGACGAACGCUGGCGGCGUGCUUAACACAUGCAAGUCAAGGGGGCCCAGCAAUGGGCAACCGGCGAACGGGUGCGUAACACGUGAGCAACCUACCGAACUGUGGGGGAUAGCCGGCCUAACGGCCGAGUAAUACCGCAUACGCUCUCAGAGAGGCAUUUCUUUGAGAGGAAACCUACGGGACAGAUCGAGGGGCUCGCGGCCUAUCAGCUAGUUGGCGAGGUAACGGCUCACCAAGGCAACGACGGGUAGCUGGUCUGAGAGGAUGGCCAGCCACAUUGGGACUGAGAUACGGCCCAGACUCCUACGGAGGCAGCAGUGGGAAUCUGCGCAAUGGCCUAAGGCUGACGCAGCGACGCCGCGUGUGGAUGGAAGCUCUUCGGGAGUGGUAAACCACUGUUGCCCGGACGAACAGCUCGAUUAAUCGAGCCUGACGGUACCGGUGAAGGAAGCACCGGCUAACUCCGCGACCAGCACGCCGACGUAAUCUGA
rnacentral:rRNA from 1 species